ensembl:lncRNA
AGGUACUCAAUGGCAAGUCCUCUUUUUGGAAUAAAGUUCUGCUAAGGUGCAUUAAGGUGAAUUCCUAAAUAGAAGCCACAGUUUCCUCUUUGAAUAUUUCCUCAGUUCCUUGCAGAGAGGAGUGUAAGUCAGCACAGUUAGGAAUCUUUAUCGCUGCUGCUGCCUUCUCUCUCUGAUGACUCUGUUCUCUUGCAGCCCUCUUCUGAGUAGAGUAGAGGAAAUUACGAGGCCUUGGUUGAAACUGAUUAAUAUCUCUUUUACUUCCUCAGUGGUAGACAGCAGCUAUUGCUAGGUAGUACAAUGGAGGAGAGGCAGUGGGGAAGCAGAACCUGUGGCGGAAGAAUGAGGCAUGAGCCUGAGAGGCAGCGCUUGUGCUGGGAAGAAAUUGCCCUGCCCUGAAAGCAGUACUGAUAUAAGAGAGAGGACCCAAAGUUUAACUCUAUCCAGAUGAGAACCUAGCAAAUGUCAUGCAUGAGGUGUUUAAUAUAUCAGAUCCAGUGACGGUGAGGUCAGAAGUGGUCCAGCUGAACUUGAGAGUGAUCAGACCAUGAUUUGCAUCACAGGGCCUUGUCCACAGAAGAACUGGGACAGGCUUGCCUGAAAUCCACCGGAUACCAACAAGCCUUCUAGAAAAGUGACACAAGUAGUUUUAAAAUAAUGGAGCAAAAAGAUCCUGAUGACAGGCUGUGUCUUGCUAGAUGGGAGUCAGAACUGAAACCAAAGAAACCAGAUUCUGUUGUUCUUGCAUUUGUACAAAUCUUCUGUGCCUUAAAGGUAAAGGCAUUAACUUCUGACUCACUCUUUCUUAGUAGUCCACCUUUUAACAAUGUCCUUAUCAAAUGAAGCAGAUGCAAUUUUGGUGGUGACUGCCAGAAAGCUCUUGAGAGAGUAAAAAUAGAUCAUGUCCUUUUCCCAAAGGAAGUAGUUGUAUGAUUUAUAGAACUGUGUUUCUAUUUGUGAAAUUUAAUUCUAAAGAAUACUUUUCAACUAUAUAUUUA